UUAAGGCUGGGCUGUGAUGGGGAGCGAAAAUUGUAGUAGCGAAGGUCAUGAUCUCACACUGCCAAGAAAAGCCUCUAGCCAGGAGAAGGUGCCCGUACCGCAAACCGACACAGGUAGGCGAGAAGAGAAUUCUAAGGCGCGCGGAAGAACUCUCGUUAAGGAACUCGGCAAAAUGACCCCGUAACUUCGGGAGAAGGGGUGCCCCGGUAGUGUGAAUAGCACGAGGGGGCCGCAGUGAAAAGGCCCAAGCGACUGUUUAGCAAAAACACAGGUCUGUGCGAAGCCGCAAGGCGAAGUAUACGGGCUGACGCCUGCCCGGUGCUGGAAGGUUAAGGGGAGUGGUUAGGGGUAACCCGAAGCUAUGAACCGAAGCCCCAGUAAACGGCGGCCGUAACUAUAACGGUCCUAAGGUAGCGAAAUUCCUUGUCAGGUAAAUUCUGACCCGCACGAAUGGCGUAACGACUUGGGCGCUGUCUCAACGAGAGAUCCGGUGAAAUUUUAAUACCUGUGAAGAUGCAGGUUACCCGCGACAAGACGGAAAGACCCCAUGGAGCUUUACUGCAGCUUGAUAUUGAAUUUGGGUACGAUCUGUACAGGAUAGGUGGGAGCCGUAGAAAUCGGAGCGCAAGCUUCGGUGGAGGCGCCGUUGGGAUACCACCCUGAUCGUAUCUAGGUUCUAACCUAGUACCCUUACCGGGUACGGGGACCGUGUCAGGCGGGCAGUUUGACUGGGGCGGUCGCCUCCUAAAGAGUAACGGAGGCGUUCCAAGGUUCCCUCAGAAUGGUUGGAAAUCAUUCGCAGAGUGCAAAGGCAUAAGGGAGCUUGACUGCGAGACCUACAAGUCGAGCAGGGACGAAAGUCGGACUUAGUGAUCCGGUGGUACCGCAUGGAAGGGCCAUCGCUCAACGGAUAAAAGCUACCCUGGGGAUAACAGGCUUAUCUCCCCCAAGAGUCCACAUCGACGGGGAGGUUUGGCACCUCGAUGUCGGCUCAUCGCAUCCUGGGGCUGAAGUAGGUCCCAAGGGUUGGGCUGUUCGCCCAUUAAAGCGGUACGCGAGCUGGGUUCAGAACGUCGUGAGACAGUUCGGUCCCUAUCUGUCGUGGGCGCAGGAAAUUUGAGAGGAGCUGUCCUUAGUACGAGAGGACCGGGAUGGACGUACCGCUGGUGCACCAGUUGUUCCGCCAGGAGCAUGGCUGGGUAGCUACGUACGGACGGGAUAAGCGCUGAAAGCAUCUAAGCGUGAAGCCCCCCUCAAGAUGAGAUUUCCCAAUUAGUAAGACCCCUUGAAGACGACGAGGUAGAUAGGUUGGAGGUGGAAGUGCAGCAAUGCAUGGAGCUGACCAAUACUAAUCGGUCGAGGGCUUAUCCUAU
rnacentral:rRNA from 1 species